UACGUAGGGUGCAAGCGUUGUCCGGAAUUAUUGGGCGUAAAGAGCUCGUAGGCGGUUUGUCGCGUCGGCUGUGAAAACCUGGGGCUCAACCCCGGGCCUGCAGCCGAUACGGGCAAGCUAGAAUUCGGUAGGGGAGACGUGGAAUUCCUGGUGUAGCGGUGAAAUGCGCAGAUAUCAGGAGGAACACCGGUGGCGAAGGCGGGUCUCUGGGCCGAUAUUGACGCUGAGGAGCGAAAGCGUGGGGAGCAAACAGG
rnacentral:rRNA from 1 species